CUACACCGGAAUAGGGUUUUAGUGGCAAUUAGUUAAUUGCCGCUAAUUUAUAACCUAAAGUCACUUAUUAGCGGCAUUUAUACUUUUGCAGGUAAAAGAUACUCCUUAUUAGUGCAAAUCAUUAAGAAAAAUGAAAAUCACUCGUUCUGCUUCUCCCUCGCUGGGCGCUCUCUCUGAAGCGAAUUAGUUCCCCCAAAUCCAUGCCUUAGGUAUUUUCAGUCCUCAAUUUCCUUCAAUUCGUGUUUGUAAGUAUAAUUAGGGUUCCGUGCUAAGAAUCGAGUGCGGGGGGCCAUUCAGAGCAAACAUUUGUGCUAAGCAGCUGGUGGAGACAAUAACAAUGAGGUCAAUAAGGGAUAGGCUUAGCAAUGACGCUUUUUACAAAUUGCCGGAGGUAACAAAGAGGUCGAUAUGAUGAUUUCACUCGUCACUCGCCGAAGACAAAUUACUGGCAAGAGAUAAUGCUUAAUUAUACAACAAAGCUGGAGUACCUUUGGUAGUGGGAACAACUGGUGGAGAUACAGAGAAGUUGUACUAAACUAUGUCAGAGUCAAAAGUUUAUGUUGUGAUCUCCCCGUAAAUGGGAAAGUAGGUUUAGACAUUUUGCUCUUUUUUUUUCUUUCAAUAGUAUGCCAGACUAGUAUAACUGUAUGAUUGCUUCUAUUUUAGGCGGUAGCUUUUCUUACAGGGAUGAAAUUCUUGGUAGAAGAAUUCCCUGGAGCUCUCUUUGGGUACAGGUUACAAGAAUUCCACCUAUUUUUCCACAUCUCAGAUACAUAAUAGCCUAAAUCUUUCAGCUACUCACAAGUCUUAAAUCUCAGAUAUGGAGAAGCCACUGAAGAAAGAAAUAUAUUUGUGUAAUAUUUUCAAUACAAUUUUCCAUUCAUAUAUUGUAUGACUGAGCAAUUGUCUUUCACUUAUUUCAUAUCUAGAGCUAUGAUUAUAAGUUUCUGAAAACAUAUCAGAAUCAGAACCAAGACCCCUGUAACUCGGAGAAGAUCUUGAUCAGUUGAAGGUUCUUGAGAAUGGAUACACGGUGAAGUGGCAUACACAUUCAAAUGGCGAGAUUGUUCAAGGAAUGACACGCUGAUCCAGAAAGCUGUCACAUUUUGCAUUAGGGAACAUACACCGGCUUAACUGCCUUAUUUAUUCCAUUGUUGAACACAUUUUUUCUAUUUUGAUCAUUCAUAGUUUCUUUACCGCUACAAGAUAAGAAAUUGAAUGUAUUAAGAUUGUUUGUUCUUAUUUUAAGUGAAUGACAUUGUUUUGAGUUUG